rnacentral:tRNA from 1 species
GGAGAAUAGUUCAGUGGUAGAACACUUGUCCAGUACGCAUGAGGCCUUGGGUUCAAUCCCCAGCACCA